rnacentral:lncRNA from 1 species
UUUAAUGUGUCUAUAUAAAUCUGAAAUUAGUUUAACUAUUCUCUAAGUUGUGGAAUAACCUUAGAAUACUUUGUACUUGUAAUCACUUUUCAUAUGCUAUUGUUGCUCAGUAUUUUCAUUAUAUUUCUUUUUUUUCCCCCUUAAUCCAACAAAUUAGACAUUUUUCCCCCUAUUUUCUUGUCUCAUCAUUGCUCUGUUUUCACAGACCCUGGUACUAACUUUUUCCCUUUGAAGUGUAUAUUUUACAAGUUCUUUCAGAGAGGAUCAGUUGUUAUUAAGUUCUCUCAAUUUUGAUUUGCCUGUAAAUGUCUUCUAAGAUAGUUUAAGAUUGAUAGUUAUUUUCCCUUAGCACUUUAAAAAAUUUUCCAGUCUUCUGGUUUCCAUUGCUACUCUUAAGUUAGCUAUCUGUUGAAUUAUCUUUUCUUUUUGGGUGAUGUAUGCUCUUCAUGGAGAUGAUUUUUAAGAUCUUGGUUUUCAGUUGGCAGUUUUACGACAUUGUGGGUCUGGAUUAGGAUUUGUUGGGCUUUCCCAAUCACAGCAUCAAGUUUUUAUAAAGUAAAUUCUGGACAAUUCUCAGCCACGUGUCUUUUGAGUAUUACCCUUUCUUUAUCCCUUUAUAUGGCAGUCCUUCCCCCAAGUUUACCUAGUCAGUCAGGUGUCAUCUUUUAAGAUCCUUGUUUUGUGUAAGGGCUUCCAAUUCACUUCUCCAUUUUUGGUAUUCUUCUAUUUGUUUAGAUCAAAAAUGUCCUAUUGUGUUCAUACUUUAAUAUUACAUUUAUUCUUUUAGGGACUUAAAUUUUUAUAUACUGUUUUCUAUUAAUAUAAUGUGAACUCGGAUAUUGACAGAAUCCCUUUCUUUUCAUUAAGCUAAUUAUUAUGGGGGGAUAUAUUCCAGAUUUGUUUUGUCUCUACCUUCCUCUCUUCUACUCUUUCUUUGUUCAAAUUACUGUAACUUGGCAUGUGGCAUCCUCCUCAUUCCCCGUGCCUCAGAUAGUCUUACUUUUUUUAAAAAUAUUUUUUAGUUGUUGAUGGACCUUAUUUAUUUAUUUUUUUUUAAUUUGUGUAUGGUACUGAGAAUUGAACUCAGUGCCUCAUGCAUGCUAGGCAAGCGUGCUACCACUGAACCAUAACCCCAGCCUCUGGUAGUCUUUACUUUUUGAUAAAACAGUUUCCCAGAUUCAUUCUGAUUUUUCUUAUUCCAAAGAAAUGGGACAGGGCUGUCUUUAAGAAGUCCUGGUUCCUUUUAGUGAAGAAUGACAAUAGAGAUGAAAAGAUGGUGUGUGGAUAGGCAUUGAAUGAGGGUGAGAUGUGCUGUUGAUUUCAGGUAGACCAUUCUUUAGGGAUUGAAUGAGAAAAGAAUAAUUUUCCUCAUUUUGAUCUUUACAAUUUAAUAUGACAUGCUUCUGUACUCUAAUUUUAAAAAAUUAAAUAGAGCAUAUGGUUUUCUCAGACCCCAAGACUUAGUAAUUGCUACUUUGACUUAGCAAGAAUGUUUUAAAACCAUAUCAAGAUUUAGUGGAAUAAAACAAUCCCCAUCCAAAUGUUGUUAGUAUUGUUGUUUAUAAGGUCAUCAAAUUAUACUUCAUAAAGUGAAUUUUCAAUUAUUUUAAGAGAUGUAGUAGAAAAAAUCCUGGAUUUAAAGAAAGAAGACUUUAAUUCUAGUCUUAGCUUAAUCAUAUUGCUAAAUGAAAAUGAUAAGUAACUUAAAAUUUUAAAAAAUUGCUAGUCUGUGGAUAAUAGAUGUGAAAACACUAAAAUACCAUGUACACGUAAAUAAAUAUUUAUGUUGAAGAUAAAACCAGGUAAUAUUUGCUUUAUUCAAUAUUUUGCUUUCAUGGUAUUUUAAUUUUUUUAAUGCUAAGAUUUUAAGUACUUAUACAAAUUUGGACAAGAUGCUCAUUUUCAGUAUGCCAUUUAUAAAGUGAUAUUAUUAAAAAAUUCUUAUGGCAUUUUGUUGUUC